rnacentral:rRNA from 1 species
UACGGAGGGUGCAAGCGUUAUCCGGAUUCACUGGGUUUAAAGGGUGCGUAGGUGGCUUUGUAAGUCAGUGGUGAAACGCCGGAGCUUAACUCCGGAACUGCCAUUGAUACUGCUUAGCUUGAAUCACGUCGAGGUGGAUGGAAUAUUACAUGUAGCGGUGAAAUGCGUAGAUAUCGUAAGGAAGACCAGUGGCGAAGGCGGGUCUCUGGACAGUUCCUGACGCUGAGGCACGAAGGUCAGGGGAGCAAACGGG